UGACAAAUUCAAACCUGCAGUGCUAUAAAUAUGCACCCCCCAUCUAAAAAAUUCAUUUCGUGCAUAUUGAUGGGGCUUUUUUAUUUUACUCCUUUUCUGCAUUCCUCCCUUUUGUGUUGGUAAUGUGAACAUGAAAUGAUGAGCACUCUCAUGUGAAUGAAUAACUUUUAUUUUAUAGAUUUUGGCAUAUUGCAUAUUGCCAAGGGAGAUGUUUACCGAGGAUUCCAUGCCAUUAACAUGCAGGCUGUUGCUGACGCCAGCAUGAGCAAUAUCUGAGCACCAAUGAUGAGGGUCAUCUGCUGGGAGAUAGUGGGUAUCCGUUAAGGACUAACCUGAUGACCCCUUAACCUCAUCCCCCCCAUGCCGCGGAACAGGCCUACAAUGACCAUCUAUGUAGAGGAUAUCUUCAUGCCACUGGUGAAUGUUGGCCUUACAAGUCCAAUAAGUGCUGUGAAAUAUCAACUGUGUACAUGCCCCUGCAUAACCUGUGUCUGGAUUAAAACAUUCCACUGAUAGAGUAAUUGGUUGGAAACGUGAUGCAACCGGAAGUUAUGAACAACACACCAGUACAUCGAGCAGCAUGUGAUAAGAGGCAGCAGCUGAUCAAACUGUUUCAUAAAAAAUGUUAAAAAAUUAUAGUUAUAAAUGUUAUAAAGUGAUAGAUGGCUUGAGUCUUCUCUAAAUAGGCAGAGCUACACUACUCAGCCAAAUGGCGUAAAGUUGUGUCAUAGCUGAUUUGGAAGGAUUGGUAUUCCUGGUCGUCUAGACACAAAAGUUACAACAGCUGAUGUUUGCAUGUUUUAUAAUUGUGUAUGCAUAAUUUGUCUAAUAUUUACUUCAAGGUUAUAGGUUUGUGAAAUAAAAAAAUGCCAAUGUUCUGAGGGCCAAUAAAAAAGUUAUGUGUAAGAUAUUACCAAGUGCUUGAUUUAAUAUUUAUUUUAAAAGGGAACUUUUCCUAAAUUUUGGCAGAUAUUUAAGUUUUUCAUUAAACGCUUUUAUAUUGAUACAUGUUAACACUGGAUCUAAAAAGCUCCAGUAAAAAAAGAAUACAAUUAAAGAAAGAUAAAAAGUAACUCCCACUGACCACUGAAGUAAAAGCCUCACACUAAG